rnacentral:tRNA from 1 species
GCGCCCAUAGCUCAAUUGGAUAGAGCGUCAGACUACGGAUCUGGAGGCUGAGAGUUCGAGUCUUUCUGGGCGCACCA